UUUUUUUUUUUUUUUUUUUUUUUUUUUUUUGAUACAGGGUCUUGCUCUGUUGCUUGGGCCAGGCUGCUCUCAAACUCCUGCUGAUCUACCUGCCUCAACCUCCCAAGUGCUGGGAUUAUAGGAUGUGUCACCAGGCCCGGCUGCUAUGCAUCUUUAGCGGUUCUGUCAUCCUGAAUUGAUUCAGAAUGUUGACCUUUCGUGGAAUUUCGACUUUAGGAUACAGUCAGAAGUCACAUCACAACAGAUGGCUGAGGACACAGGGUAAGACUCAGAUCCUCCCUAAUUUGAUAUCUCCACAGUGACCUGAAUCGGAAGGAGAAGGUGAGGAAAGAGUGAAAACUGCAUUCAAGAUGGCAGAUAAAGUGCUGCAUUUGAAGUCAGACUGGAAUUAUGGGGGUGAUGGAUGAACACUGGGAUUUUUGACAUAUUUCAAACAUCAAAAAUUUUGAUAGAGACUGUGUCAAGGCCUUUUGUCUCCUAGCUGGUGCAUGAUUAUCUAUUUCAGCUUUCACAAGAAUUUGACCGUGACUUCUCAACCACAAAAUAUCCCUGAACUAGGAAGAAAUGGACCCAG
rnacentral:lncRNA from 1 species